AGUUUUCGGAUUGCGGCGACGCCGGCGGUUCGCCGCCGGUGACGUUGUGAGAAGUUCAUUAAACCUUAUCAUUUAGAGGAAGGAGAAGUCGUAACAAGGUUUCCGUAGGUGAACCUGCGGAAGGAUCAUUG
rnacentral:rRNA from 13 species